CUAACUCCGUUAAAAGGUAGGUGCAGGACCUAGGAAUAUUUGUGAACAAUUUUUUGUUUUACUUCUCAGAAUUGCUCUUUGAUAUUCUCAGUCAUCCUUAUGGCCUUCACUCAAUCUUCAACAAAGACUUGUCAGGUUAAAUUACUUUUUAUCUUAAGAUAAAAAGAUUUUAAAUGAUAUUGUUACAAAAUUGCACUUGUCUUAGUCCAAUGUGCACUUAAAAUAUUUUAGAGGACUGCAUUACAGUUUGUGGUUUCUAUCUUUUUUAAUCUCCCAAGGUAUGGUUGAAAUUCAGAAAAUAAAAUGUCAAAGAAAAGGAAUGAUGAUUCAAAUCUCGACAAUGUUUAAAACUCCAUCUUUUAAUCUACAAUGUUAUGUUCCACUCCAAAAAUAAACAGAAAAGAAAAAGAUUAAUCUGCUUGAAAUCUUGUCAGUAUUAAAAGGUUGUCUACAAAUCUCGCCAUUUACCAAGUUUCUGAGUCUGUUCCACUCCAGAAAUAAAAAGAAAGGGGAAAAAUCUGUUUGAAAUCUCGUCAGUAUUAAAAACUUCGUCUUUUAAUCUCCCCAUUUUCAAUGUCUGUUCCAC
rnacentral:lncRNA from 1 species